rnacentral:rRNA from 1 species
GACGAACGCUGGCGGUGUGCUUAACACAUGCACGUCGAACGGUAAGGCCCUUUCGGGGGUACACGAGUGGCGAACGGGUGAGUAACACGUGAGUAACCUGCCCUCAUCUCUGGGAUAACAGUCGGAAACGGUUGCUAAUACUGGAUAUGAGCUUGCAAGGCAUCUUGUGGGUUGGAAAGAUUUUUUUUGGUUGGGGAUGGACUCGCGGCCUAUCAGCUUGUUGGUGAGGUAGUGGCUCACCAAGGCUUCGACGGGUAGCCGGCCUGAGAGGGCGACCGGCCACAUUGGGACUGAGAUACGGCCCAAACUCCUACGGGAGGCAGCAGUGGGGAAUAUUGCACAAUGGACGGAAGUCUGAUGCAGCAACGCCGCGUGCGGGAUGACGGCCUUCGGGUUGUAAACCGCUGUCAAUUGUGACGAAGCUUUUUUGUGACGGUAGCAGUAGAAGAAGCACCGGCUAACUACGUG